rnacentral:rRNA from 1 species
AGAUAAAAUAUAGAAAUAAUUUGAAAAUUGAUUUAUUAGUUAAAUAAAGUAAUAUUAAAAAAUUUAAGUUAUAGUAAUAAUUUAGAAUAAAUUUUAUUAAUGAUAGAGAAAGUAAUGAAAAUGAAAAAAUUUUAAUAUUAAAGAAGUAGAUUUUAAUAAUUGUACCUUUUGUAUCAGGGUUGAUUAAAUAAAAUAUUUUAAUGAAAAUAUAUCUCGAAUUUAAAAUAUUUAAUUAAAAAUUUUAGUUAGUGUGGAAUAAUUAUUAAUAAUUUUUAAUUAGAAGUGAAAUGUUAGACGAUUUUAAAUAUAUCUAGUUUUUUUAGAAUUAAAUUUAAUUUAGCUUUAUAAUUUAUAUAAAUAAAUUGGUUUAAAAAUAUAAAAUUAUAAAGUAAAUAUUUUUGGGUUAAACUAAAAAUAUUAAAAAUAAUAUUUUUUUAUUUUUAAUUUAUAAAUAUUCAUAAAAUUUGAAUUUUUUUUAAAAAAUGUUAUAAUUUAUAAUUAUUUAAUUUAAAUUUAAAAUUAAUAUUUUUAUUUAUAUAAAAAAAAAUUAUUUAAUAAUAUAUUAAUUGUUAUAAUGAUUAAAUUAGUAAAUUUUUAUUUGUAAUAAAUUAAUUUUAUAAAAUUUAAAUUUAUUUUAAGGAAUUCGACAUAAAUUAUAGAGUUAUAUUUUUAUAAUUUUAUAUAUAUAUUCACCUGUUUAUCAAAAACAUGUCUUAUUGUUUAUAAUAAUAAGUCUAUUCUGCCCAUUGAAUAAAAUUUUAAAAGGCUGCAGUAUAUUGACUGUACAAAGGUAGCAUAAUCAAUUGUUUUUUAAUUGAAAACUGGUAUGAAAGAAUGGAUGAAAUAUAAAUUGUCUCAAAAUAAAAUUAUUGAAUUUAAAUUAAAAGUUAAAAUGCUUUUAUGUAAUUAUAAGACGAUAAGACCCUAUAGAAUUUAAUAAAUUUUAAUUUAUUAAAGAUUAUAUAUUUUAAAAUAUUUAAUAGUUAAAUAUAUUUUAUUGGGAGGAUAGUUAAAUUUAAUAAACUUUAAUGAAUAAAAAACAUAGAUGAAUGAAUAAUUGAUUAUUAUUAUAAUUAUUAGAAUAAAUUACCUUAGGGAUAACAGCGUAAUAGUUUUGGAGAGUUCAUAUUGAUAAAAUUGUUUGCGACCUCGAUGUUGAAUUAUGAUAAAAAUUAAAUGGAGAAAUUUAAAAUUUUAGUCUGUUCGACUAUUAAAAUCAUACAUGAUUUGAGUUCAGAUCGGUGUAAGCCAGAUCGGUUUCUAUCUAUAAUAAUAUAAUUAUUUUAUUGUACGAAAGGACUUAAAAUAUUAAAUAUUUUUAUAAUAAUUAAUUAAAAUUUUAAUUAAUUUAUAUUGAAUAAAAUUAAUAUUAAGAUUAAAUUUG